CAGUCGCCGCGGUAAUACGGAGGGUGCAAGCGUUAAUCGGAAUUACUGGGCGUAAAGCGCACGCAGGCGGUCUGACAAGUCAGAUGUGAAAUCCCCGGGCUUAACCUGGGAACUGCAUUUGAAACUGUCAGGCUGGAGUCUUGUAGAGGGGGGUGGAAUUCCAGGUGUAGCGGUGAAAUGCGUAGAGAUCUGGAGGAAUACCGGUGGCGAAGGCGGCCCCCUGGACAAAGACUGACGCUCAGGUGCGAAAGCGUGGGAAGCAAACAGGAUUAGAUACCCCGGUAGUCCCUGUCUCUUAUAC
rnacentral:rRNA from 1 species